rfam:Triticum aestivum genome assembly, contig: Triticum_aestivum_CS42_TGACv1_scaffold_500283_6BL
CAUCUACUCCCUCCAUUCGGAAUUACUUGUCACAAAAAUAAACAAAAAUGAAUGUAUCUACAACUAAAAUACAUCUAGAUACAUUCAUUUCUUGGACGAGUAAUUCCGAGCGGAGGGAGUAUCUA